UCUGACUAGCGUGCUGGUCUGUGGCUUGAUCCCACCUCAGGCAGCUGGAAGGUUGACCUCCCAGAGCCCCCAGGUCCUGCUCCUGGGAGAGACACAGAGACACACAGAGAAGACAGAGACAGAGAAUAAACACAGAGAGAGAACCAGGAGAAAUCACAGACUUUCUUCCAUCAGCUCCAGAGGGGGAGAUGGUGCCUGGAAAUACUUCAGCAGGAGACCAGGAGCCAGCAGGUGACCAUGCACCUGCCCACAGAGAGGCUGAUGCUGUCCCAGAAGAGCUGGUGCCUGCCCCAGCCCCUGCUCCCACCCCUGCUGUGUCCCUGCCAGAGCCACUCCUCCUUCCCCUGCCCCAGUCUGUGCUCCUGCUCUAGCAUCUGUCCUGGCUCUUGUCCCUGCCCCUGUCUCAACCUCUGCCCCUACAACUGCUCCUGCAGGGCUCCCAGAGCCCAUCCAGAGCCCAAAGCCCUGCUCCUUGUACAAUUAUCCCUUGUUCUAUCCCCUGACCCUGACAACCCGCAGGAAUGUUUCGCCCCCAACCUCUCUCUGGUACAUAUUA